CCUACGGGCGGCAGCAGUGGGGAAUAUUGGUCAAUGGACGCAAGCCUGAACCAGCCAUGCCGCGUGCAGGAAGACGGCUCUAUGAGUUGUAAACUGCUUUUGUACGAGGGUAAACGCAGAUACGCGUAUCUGUCUGAAAGUAUCGUACGAAUAAGGAUCGGCUAACUCCGUGCCAGCAGCCGCGGUAAUACGGAGGAGUCAAGCGUUAUCCGGAUUUAUUGGGGUUAAAGGGUGCGUAGGCGGUCGGAUAAGUUAGAUGUGAAAUCCCGAGGCUCAACUUCGGAAUUGCCUCUGAUACUGUUCGGCUAGAGAGUAGUUGCGGUAGGCGGAAUGUAUGGUGUAGCGGUGAAAUGCUUAGAGAUCAUGCAGAACACCGAUUGCGAAGGCAGCUUACCAGGCUACUUCUGACGUUGAGGCACGAAAGCGUGGGGAGCAAACAGGAUUAGAUACCCGGGUAGUC
rnacentral:rRNA from 1 species